GUUUUGUUGCGAAAUGUUGUAGAAUACGGAUAAUAUAGCCAUGCGAAGUUUGCCGUUUUUCGGUCAUUUUGUAUUACGCACGGGAAAUUGACAGCCCAAUCGGGUGUUGGGGCAUCAAUUUCCCGUUUGUAAUACAAAAUGACUGAAAAUUGCAAAUUUCGCAAGGCUAUAUUAUCCACAUUUUACAACAUUUCGCAACGAAACUUUGGAAUAUUACUAAUUUUGUGAUGCUUUUUCAAGCUGUUAUGAAAUUUUUGUCUAGAUCAAAGUUUAGUCUAUAAUGCAAAUGGUCCAUU